rnacentral:rRNA from 1 species
GUCAAGGACCAUACCAUGCUGAAAGUACCGAUUCUCGUCUGAUCACAGAUGUCAAGCAGCAUUGGGCGCGGUCAAUACUUUGGAGGAUGACCACCUGGGAACACAGCGUGCUGUUGACA